GCCUAGCUAGCUGAGUCUUGGCUUGGCACGAGACUCUUAAUCUCGGGGUCGUGGGUUCGAGCCCCAUGUUGGGGUA